CGGGACUACACUGAAGCAUUCAAAUCAGCGAGGAGAGCGCCUAAACAGACACAUGAGAUCAACAAGUCGCAGCAGACCAGGUGGAACUCUGUAACCGGCAGCGGCGAGGAUUUCCUUAUGCAGCAGCCUUACUUCUGGGAGGUAGGCUGUCACGGACCCUAUGCCAGGACCGUUCCACUUAUAAGUCCCUUAAGCCCAACCGCCAGCAUCGGGAGCUGCGAGCUUACAGUAUCGGAUCAACUUUGUCUUUUGAUCUAUUGACACCGAGCAACUUUGCACUGUGCAAGGAGAAUUGGCUACAUUGAUUCACACUUUGUACGAAUUGAAGACUGAGAAAUUUCACCUUGCCUACAUUAGGAUCUGCUUCCCAUCAGGGAAGGAACCAUCACUGUCGCACACUGAGUGGGAAUUUGGGUACAUUGUUAAUUUGUGGACUAGUGUUUAGUUAUUAGUGUGUCCAGUGUCUUUGAUACUUAUACACCAUGCUAGAUCGGGAUUCAUAACAAUUAGAUUGUGUUUAUU